ensembl:lncRNA
UUUUUUUCUCUUUUCUUCCCCCCUAUUUACAGAUCCAGCAUAAAAAUAUUUAAUAAACCUUUUAACAAGCAGCAUGUGGAGUUGAAGAUCAGAAGAGUAAUUGCUGAGAAGGGCAAUUGAGAACAUCACGCUUACACAGGCUCCUUAGAAAUGUGAAACAAUGCUGUGAUUCAACAGCGACCUCCUAAAUUGAAAUCUGCAUGGCCCUGUGUAAGAGCUGAGCUUCUUUACCCAGUUGGAAGUCAGUAAAAGGUAGCCCUCAUAGCCUUAUGAACAGGGAUUCUGUGGUGGUAGCUCUGCUUCCUUUCAGCACCUUUCAGUACCACCUCCAUGGUACUGACCAGAUGGUGGUGCAGAAGGCAUUCUCUUAAAUGGAUUAAGGAUUGCUUCCAGAGGUGAUGUGAGAAACCUUGGAAGGGUUUUGCCACACCCUUUAUAUCUUAUACUAGUUUUGUGUUAAUGGCUGUGUGACUUGUGUCAUUACUGUGCUAAUGCAGUAGCAGCUUACUUUUGAGCUGCUUCCUCCUCCCAGACACCAUUGUGCUGUGGAAAGCUGAGCUGAAGGAAUGAGCUGCAGUGCCUGCACUUUGCUUCCUAGGAGAACUCAGGUUUGCCAGCUGGGUAAAACUGCCCUGAGGCUAAGCUGCAGCAGGAAGACAUCAUUUCCACUAAUGGAUCUGUGUAGACAGGCUAAACCAUUGGAAAGGAACUUAGGCAGUUCUGAUGGCAUUUAGAGAUUCGAGCCAGGCAGGGAGUCAAGCCAGGUGGGAAGAGCUGAGUAAGUAUAGGGAUGUAGCAUGAUGUAUAGGACUUGUGAUUAGGUUAGACAGCAUCAGGGCUGAUUUUGUCGAAGUUUAUUGGGUGUGAGUGAAAUAAACUACCAAUGUUAAAGAGCUAGAUGGAGGUACUGAGAUGGAAGCUGAGAUUUCAAGUUCCAAAGCAGGCCAAACAACUGGUUAUGUACAUUUUUCCUUUCCUGCAGUUCACCUGCUGCCUUGCCAUGUGCGUGAGGCAGCCCAAUUUGUUGCAGAAGAAAACUCUUGCUAUAAAACAUCUGGGAAAUACUACUAAACCUACAAAAUGGGGCAAAGAAAUACUGUUUUUCUGUGCUGUGAUUUCACAGAGGCUUCCAGCUGGAGCUUUAAUAGAGCAUCCGAGGUACCUCGAGCAUUCAAGGUACCUAACAGUUUAGAUAAACCGUACCUUGGUGUUUCCUCCUGAGUGGCUCAGGAGUCUCUAAAUUUGUUGUCUGUUAUGAACCCCUGUGGAGGAUAUUGUAUAGUCAGUCAGUUGCUGUUUUGAAAGACUAGCAAACCUAUUUGUUCAAGUUUGAUCAAUUAGAGUUAAUACGCCAAAUAAUAGAUAUUUGCUGUUAUUUAAACUGUUUAAUCCAGUUGUCUUUGACAAAGUUGGGAAGGAAUUACACUAGCAACUUAACAGGCAGAUCGUAAUUUCAGAUGAGGAAACGAAUGAUGAUGAGCUAUUGUAGUAUAGGAGUACAGGAUCCUGUUUGGUCACAGUUAUUGCAGAAUAAGCUGGAAGGUAUGAGUCUCAACUUUUUACAAUUGCAUUAAUAGGACCAUGUGUCAAUUGAACUUUAAGAAUUGAACACUUUUGCUGUGCAGAGCGUUUCCUUGGCUGACGCCUUUUAGAUAUCUGUCCAGCUGUCCAAAGAAUCAAUGGUUCUGCCUUGCCCUUCCUCUCUGAAAGAUUGGCAAGUGAUCUGAACACUUGAUGGUUUAGGAGCCCUAUCAAUUAUUGUCUUAUCUGCAGAAAGCUGUGCAUUCUUCAAUAGCUGCUUUCUAAAAACAGGUAAACUAAACACAUUCAAAAUGAAAAAUAAUGGAAAUAACAUUAUGAAAGGUAGACUAAUCUUUCUUCGAAUUCAAAAAUACAAUGAAAAGUAGUUUUCUAUUUCUGUCUCCAUGAAUUCACUGAUCAGCUUACAGAUCUCAAGUCUUGCAGCAACGCACAUACAAAUCUAUACAGCGUACCCAAAUGUCAUAUAUAGUGUUAUUUGCUAAAGUAUGCAUUGCCUUUUGAAGAACUCAACAGUUUAUUUCUCCCCAACUUUGAAUAUAAUGAACUUUGAAAUACAAAUAGGCCACUAUAUACAAAAUUUCCUAUUGUUUGUAAGGAUUGGAUGUCUCUAGAACUAUCAAGUAUUGUCAAUUAUCUUAAAGAGUAACCCAGCACGAAUGCAAAUUGCCUCAUAUGACACAGGGGGAUAUUUUGACUAUUUGACAGGUUGGAUGGUUCUUUGGGCAACCUGGUCUAGUGGAAGGUGUCUCUGGCAGGGGGGUUGGAACUGGCUGAUCUUUAAGGUCCCUUCCAACCUAAACUAUUCCAUGAUUCUAUGCUUAAAGGAGCAAGCUGUGAUAUUUCUCUGGCAAACAUAUCUAGUGAAUUGCAGUUUCCGACAAAGGAGGAGGUAUACACAAAUAAGUUAUCCUGUGCAGGUAUUCUUUCAAGUACAAUUUAUCACCUUAAUUACUAUACCUUCUGCAGCAGGAUAGAAUGACUGGAUAUUUUUUUGUUACCAAACCAUUUGCACAUAUAUCAUGAAAGUAUUUUCUGUGUUUAUAUGUGUAUUACAUGAGCUAAUGCUUUAAUUGCUUUAUCAGCUUUUUGGGUCUCCCACACAGGCAGAAAACCACUGUAGUGAGUUGUGUAGUUAGGCAGUGGUGCAUAAGCAAUCAUAAGAGGUAGUUUUUGUAACUUUUGUAUUCUACUAGGCAACAAGCACCUUAGAUUUAGUGAGAUUGUAAGCGUGGUUAUUUACUGGUAGAAGCUGGUGGCUUCUCUCCCCUCUCUUUUUAAAUUUGAGGGUAAAGUAUAAUUUAUGUUCUGGGUAUCGUCUUCGAGAAGUUCUAAAUCACUUCAUGAGGCUUUCAGCGUGGCUUAUGUCAUUUAUCCAUCAGCACUCAGUCCAUUUAAUCCAGGCCUCUCAGCUGUACAGACCUAACUCCUGUUGUGAGUGAUCGGCCUGCUUGAGUGCUCCCAGCUUCUCCUGUCACAUCACAUUUGCAUAAAAGAGGACAGAUAACCAAAUUUGAGCACACAAAUGAAAAUGCUAAGCGCCAAACCUGUCACAGUUGUUGUUCAACUAAUUGUGAAAAAUUUGAUUUGCUGGCUUUUCACCGUUUAUCAUGUGGACCCCCUUCUCAAAUUUGCGUUGGCUUCUGCUUCUGUACAUGUAGCUUUUAAACUCUCUUCACAAGCAGCGCACCCUGGGGAUUACUUACCUCUCCUACCAGCUUUUAAUGUUGGCUCAUCUACUUGACUAAAUUAGGCCACCAUGGCAAACAAACACAUAAUUAAAAACCUGGGAAAGACAACUGCAGUUGCACUUCUUAAAUUGAUUUUGCAGUCUAUUACUGGUAUAUGCCUCUGCAUUUCGCCAUUUUAUCUUGUCCUCCUCUAAACCCUGAAAAUGCCUUUGCUUUUGAUUACAUGCAGGAGGAAUUUAUAUUAUUUCAAAAUGAAGACUUAAGAUUUUCUUCUCCAAAGGUGAUUAGUAAAUAAAAACACAUUCUCAUUUCUUUGUGGCAGCCUAUUACAGAGUUUCUCUGUUCAUUUAGAUUUAAUACCUGUUUUUGAACUGCAUGAAAGCUCACAGUUGAGGUACUGUUCAAAUUACUGUGAUUUCUCAAAACUCUGUUUUUUGAGUUAGCUUUCAAAAUGUGCUUGUAACUGCUAUCAAGCUUCUAUUUCAAAUCACCUUCUCUUAACUUACUUGUGUAACGUACAUUCUUAUAAUGUAUACCAAAGGUCACCAAUUAAAACAGUUGAAUGUCUUGUUGCUUUUGCUGAGAGGAGGUUCAGUCUCACAGUUAUCUAUUAAAAAAAAAAAAAGUUAAAAAAAAAAAUAAAAAAUCCACUUACAUACUAAAAUCUUUCCUUCCUUUGGUAUUUGUGUUGGUCAACAUUUGAGAAGCUGGAUGGUGCAUACAAAUCCUUAGAGACCGCUGAAAGCCUCUAAAAAGAGCCUGAUAAGAAAAGCUGACAUUCAGAAAUAUACGAAUAUUUAAUGUUUUUCUAGCUGCCCUAAAAUAUAUUAAAAUAUAUAUGUGUUUUGGAAUGAAG